rnacentral:rRNA from 1 species
CUAACACAUGCAAGUCGAGCGGUAGCACAGAGAGCUUGCUCUCGGGUGACGAGCGGCGGACGGGUGAGUAAUGUCUGGGAAACUGCCUGAUGGAGGGGGAUAACUACUGGAAACGGUAGCUAAUACCGCAUAAUGUCGCAAGACCAAAGUGGGGGACCUUCGGGCCUCAUGCCAUCAGAUGUGCCCAGAUGGGAUUAGCUAGUAGGUGGGGUAAUGGCUCACCUAGGCGACGAUCCCUAGCUGGUCUGAGAGGAUGACCAGCCACAC